rnacentral:rRNA from 1 species
AGUCGAGCGGAGAUGAGGUGCUUGCACCUUAUCUUAGCGGCGGACGGGUGAGUAAUGCUUAGGAAUCUGCCUAUUAGUGGGGGACAACAUUCCGAAAGGAAUGCUAAUACCGCAUACGUCCUACGGGAGAAAGCAGGGGAUCUUCGGACCUUGCGCUAAUAGAUGAGCCUAAGUCGGAUUAGCUAGUUGGUGGGGUAAAGGCCUACCAAGGCGACGAUCUGUAGCGGGUCUGAGAGGAUGAUCCGCCACACUGGGACUGAGACACGGCCCAGACUCCUACGGGAGGCAGCAGUGGGGAAUAUUGGACAAUGGGGGGAACCCUGAUCCAGCCAUGCCGCGUGUGUGAAGAAGGCCUUAUGGUUGUAAAGCACUUUAAGCGAGGAGGAGGCUACUGAGACUAAUACCCUUGGAUAGUGGACGUUACUCGCAGAAUAAGCACCGGCUAACUCUGUGCCAGCAGCCGCGGUAAUACAGAGGGUGCGAGCGUUAAUCGGAUUUACUGGGCGUAAAGCGUGCGUAGGCGGCUUUUUAAGUCGGAUGUGAAAUCCCCGAGCUUAACUUGGGAAUUGCAUUCGAUACUGGGAAGCUAGAGUAUGGGAGAGGAUGGUAGAAUUCCAGGUGUA